UACGAAGGGGGCUAGCGUUGCUCGGAAUUACUGGGCGUAAAGCGCACGUAGGCGGCUUUCUAAGUCGGGGGUGAAAUCCUGGAGCUCAACUCCAGAACUGCCUUUGAUACUGGCGAUCUUGAGUCCGGGAGAGGUGAGUGGAACUGCGAGUGUAGAGGUGAAAUUCGUAGAUAUUCGCAAGAACACCAGUGGCGAAGGCGGCUCACUGGCCCGAUACUGGCGCUGAGGCACGAAAGCGUGGGGAGCAAACAGG
rnacentral:rRNA from 1 species